rnacentral:rRNA from 1 species
GACGAACGCUGGCGGCGUGCUUAACACAUGCCAGUCGAACGGAAAGGCCCUGCUUGCAGGGUACUCGAGUGGCGAACGGGUGAGUAACACGUGGGUGAUCUGCCCUGCACUUCGGGAUAAGCCUGGGAAACUGGGUCUAAUACCGGAUAGGAGCCAUUUUUAGUGUGAUGGUUGGAAAGUUUUUUCGGUGUAGGAUGAGCUCGCGGCCUAUCAGCUUGUUGGUGGGGUAAUGGCCUACCAAGGCGGCGACGGGUAGCCGGCCUGAGAGGGUGGACGGCCACAUUGGGACUGAGAUACGGCCCAGACUCCUACGGGAGGCAGCAGUGGGGAAUAUUGCACAAUGGGCGCAAGCCUGAUGCAGCGACGCCGCGUGGGGGAUGACGGCCUUCGGGUUGUAAACUCCUUUCGCUAGGGACGAAGCUUUUUGUGACGGUACCUAGAUAAGAAGCACCGGCUAACUACGUG